UGCGAGUUGAGCGUCUUGAACAACGGCGAGGCGCGGCGUACGGCUCAGUAACACGUGGCUAACCUACCCUUAGGACAGAGAUAAACCCGGGAAACUGGGGUUAAUAUCUGAUUGGCGAGGAAAUCUGGAAUGAUUCUUCACCUAAAGGAUUUUGAUACCAUGUUUUUCAAAGUCGCCUAAGGAUGGGGCCGCGGUUGAUCAGGUUGUUGGUGAGGUAAUGGCCCACCAAGCCUUUGACCGAUACGGGCCGUGAGAGCGGGAGCCCGGAGAUGGGCACUGAGAUAAGGGCCCAGACCCUAUGGGGUGCAGCAGUCGCGAAACCUCCGCAAUGCGCGAAAGCGUGACGGGGUUACCCCGAGUGCCGUCCGCUGAGGAUGGCUUUUCUUCAGUGUAAUGAGCUGGAGGAAUAAGGGGAGGGCAAGACUGGUGUCAGCCGCCGCGGUAAUACCAGCUCCUCGAGUGGUAGGGAUAAUUAUUGGGCUUAAAGCGUCCGUAGCCGGCUUGAUAAGUCCCCCGUUAAAUCCAGCGACCUAAUCGUUGGCCUGCGGGGGGUACUGUCAAGCUAGGGGGCGGAAGAGGCCGAUGGUAUUUUCGGGGUAGGGGUGAAAUCCUAUAAUCCCGAGAGGACCACCAGUGGCGAAGGCGAUCGGCUGGUACGUGCUCGACGAUGAUGGACGAAAGCUGGGGGAGCGAACCGGAUUAGAUACCCGGGUAGUCCCAGCUGU
rnacentral:rRNA from 1 species